GUGAGUAGUUUGCAUUAGAGAAGUGAAGUGUGUGCUCCUGCUGCUCUAGUUCCACUGGGGCCCACCUGGGCCCACCUUCUUCUGGCUUCUCCAGGCCUGUUUCUCCCCAGUCAAGCAGAAACAAGGGGAGCUCUCAGGGAAGUACGCUUGAUCUCCCUCAGCAACCCGUUACAGGGCUUUGCAGUGUCAGCAGGACACCAGAGAGUCUGGAAAAGAAAAGACGUAGCGCGAAGCGAGGUGUUCAGCAUCCCUACACCUGGAUCUUCAUCAGAGAGACCCAAUUUCCCUCCUGGUGGUUCCCAGGGCCGGCAUCCAUCUGGAACAAGACACCACAUGUUCACCAUCUUCGCAGCCUGGGGCAUCUGUCAGGGCCACCACUGCCCCCCUCUACCCUCCCAAUCUCCUCUUCAAAGCCUGACUCUCUCUCUCCCAUCCAGGUUCCUCUGAAAAUGGCCACCACUUCCAGGCUAUGGAACUCCACAGCAGGAAUCACGGCAGAGAGAGACUCAUGCCGAAAACACAAACAUCGUGGCCUAAAGGAAAAACCAUCAGAUGGAGAGUCAAGCCAGGUGGUAAACAAACAGAUCCGGGAAAGCUGAUCCAGUCUCGGUCCAAGAACAGGAUACACCGGUUUGACAAGGCUGUGGUCUGGACUGGACUCUCACUUUACACAGGUUCAUGUCCAGAAGUGGGCUUUCCAUCUGCAUCUGAUGACUCACUGGAGAUUGAGAGACUUAAUCAGGAACAGUGUUAACACCACAAGCGACUAAAUAAACAUGAAAUAAAUCAAUGUUGGAAACAGCAAAAUUACUCACUCAACAGAGGUGGUUGAAGAGAAACCGAUUUUAUCCAGAAGGAUGAUGGACUAAGUGAGGAUCUCCACAUGUGAAUUAUUUGAGUAAGUG